AUGCCGCCCAAAGAUGACAAGAAGAAGGAAGAUGCCGGAAAGUCGGUCAAAAAGGAUAAAGACCCAGUAAAUAAAUCUGGUGGCAAGGCCAAGAAGAAGUGGUCCAAAGGCAAAGUUCGGUACAAGUUGACAAUCUUGUCCUGUUCGAUAAAGCAACAUACGACAAGCUCUGUAAGGAGGUUCCGAACUAUAAGCUUAUUACUCCAGCCGUGGUCUCCGAGAGACUGAAGAUUCGCGGUUCCUUGGCCAGGGCAGCCCUUCAGGAGCUCCUUAGUAAAGGACUUAUCAAGCUGGUUUCAAAGCACAGAGCCCACGUCAUUUACCCAAGAAACACAAAGAGUGGAGACGCCCCGGCUGUGGUGAGGAU
rnacentral:lncRNA from 1 species